AACACGAGAAGAAGAAAGAGGACCUCACAGUUUAAGCGCUCUGUUGGUUCGUGUUUAAUGUGUGUUGUUGUUUUUUGUAAUUGAUGUUCAUCAUGAGACAGCAGGUGGAUGUGAUCUGCUGUAAAUCAGUAGGAACUGAUCUGUCCAUGCUGGAUAUUGAUGAUUUCAUCACAGAAAUCUCUCAGCUGAAGAAAGAGGUGACAUCACUGGAGAAAGAGGUGACAUCACUGAACGCAAAGCUGAAGGAGAGAGAUGACAGGAGCUGGAAAAGGUUUCCUGUCAAUCUUCAGUGUGUGUGACUGAUGGGACCUCCACAGAAUGUCAGGAUUCAGUGUGGAGCUGCAGAGAUCAGUCCAC